rnacentral:lncRNA from 1 species
UGCAUAGGAAAUGUUAACUCUCCAGCUUGUAUUGAACCACCAGCUCCUCAUAGAUGUGCUCAGGAGACUCUGUGGAGGGUCUAGGUCACUACUUCCUAAGUGAGCGACCACCUGUGCAGAAAUCAGGACAGCAGAUUCUUACUGUCAGAGGAUUAGGAGAAAGAGCCCCAGGCCUGGCACUUCCUCCGUGCUGUCACUGGCCACAUUCAUUCAUCAUCGUGGUGCCAGGCGGGUCAGUUCCCACCCUCGCCCUAACACUGCUCUCCUCAGGAGUCCCCGCUGUGCCAGGAGGAUUCCAGGGACCAGGAACACAGAGCUCACUCCAGGGGCCAGGAUGGUUCUGGGAAAUUUCCAUCUGACCUACUUCUUCACAGAAUUCAAGAUAAAGAAAACUGGGCAGCAUGAGAUGAAGACAUAGAAAUUGCUUGGAGUUUGUGAGCUUUUGUCGUCCAAAGGAAGGGAACUGUGUUGAAGAACAUUCAUUUUAAGGACAGUACAUCUGCAGUCAUGCAAAGGAUCACAGCUUGUAUAAAGCAAUAUCAUCAACAGCAUCAUUAUGGUCAUUCAAGACAUAGACCCCAGUGAUCCAUCUGAGCUAUGUUGUGUGCAGAAAACAACGAUUAAACCAUGGUAUAUUGUAGGGGUGCUCCAGAUGAUAGGUGGUGUGGCACUGAAUGUCCUGUGGGCAGUAGUCAUUUCCAACUCAUCUCAUUAUGAACUUUCUAUGAAACAGUCAGACCCUGUAUUGCCGUACAUCUAUCUCUUGGUGCCUCUCAUUUAUGUCUCAUCAGGAAUUCUGACCGUUAUGGCUGAAAACACACAGAAUAUCAAUGUGAUUGUGGCCUUCAUAUUGGUAAAAUUUGUGAGCUUUCUAGCUUCGCUGGCAUUCACAGUAAUGCAUGGUGCAAAUUCAUUUGCAUUUGCACGGAUGAAAGCUAUAUUCCCUGCAGACAUCGCAUCUUUCGUCCUCACACUGUUUGAGUUCAUCUUGUCUCUUUGCCUCUACUUUGCUGCUGGUUACUCUGAAGAGACAAGAAACUCACCCCAAAUCUUCAGCUCAUGAUGAAAUAAGGUUGAACUCUGCAUAUCUGCAUAAGACCAAGACUAAUUUAUGUGGCUGUCCUGAGGUGGUUUGAGAGAAUACCUUCAUGUGCUUUUCUUUAUCUUUUUUACUGUUGCAUCAUCUGGGAUAUCUUUAUCUAUACAAUAAAGAGGAGUGGAAGUCUUCUCAGGAGAAUAAUUGUUACUAAUUGUUUGAUGCUGACUUUUCUGUGGUUUGCUUUCUACCCUCAAUGUGAAUACCUCUGAGGAUGAGGACAGAACUUAAAUUGCUU